UACCGGCUGUUAACAGUCACGGGAGAAUGAAACGCUAUCGUUCCAAGGUGUCGGUCGCGUGUAUUGUCCGUUCACGGAGCCGCCGAACAGAGCAAUUGAAAAAAGUGAUACCAUUCAUCGUGUACGUCGAAUUGUUACGUUGAUUCGUUCGAUAAUUUAUUACUUAGAAAUUUGCUCGAGUCUGUCUCAAUGGAGUUGGAAACGGAGUUAAUAUUAAACCAGUGUGCCAGUGGGGUAUACAUCAUUGGCAACGUUAAGUGUCUGAGGGA